GACGUAGGGCGCGAGCGUUGUCCGGAUUUAUUGGGCGUAAAGAGCUCGUAGGCGGCUUGUCGCGUCGAAUGUGAAAUCUCGGGGCUCAACUCCGAGCUUGCAUUCGAUACGGGCAGGCUAGAGUUCGGUAGGGGAGACUGGAAUUCCUGGUGUAGCGGUGAAAUGCGCAGAUAUCGGGAGGAACACCGGUGGCGAAGGCGGUUCUCUGGGCCUUACCUGACACUGAGGAGCGAAAGCGUGGGGAGCGAACAGG
rnacentral:rRNA from 1 species